rnacentral:tRNA from 2 species
CUGGAUAAGGGGCGGAUGUAGCCAAGUGGAUCAAGGCAGUGGAUUUGUGAAUCC